AUGCAUGUUUGUGCCAAAAGCAGGCACUGGCGUUCUGAAAAAAUGUUGUAUUUGUUGUUGCGUGUAUUGGCAGACGCAUAUAUAGGAGUACGUGGUGAGCUGCACCGUCGGCUGUGCCUUUGUUCCCCACUUCCGUCGGCUGUGCCUCUGUUCCCCACUUCCGUCAGCUUGUUUUUUUGUGUAGAGAAACAAACUGGACGACAUGUCUCCAGUAGAUUCAGAGCAGUUGGCCGUAGAACAUGGCGGCGACAGGACUUCCCGCUCUUUGUCUCCGACGAAAUGGACUUCCCGCUGGGUCCAAUUAGCACGAGUCGAGCUUAA
rnacentral:rRNA from 1 species